AUAAAAAACCCGCCACCGCACCAAGCUACGUCGGUUGGUAACACAGAAAACAAUAAAAAUGAAAUCACAGCAGCUGACACACAGCCAACGAACAAAUUCAACAGACCCAAUCAAUCGAUCGAUCGUUCUGUUGGCUUUCUUUACCCGAAAGCCAAGUUUAAACUCUUAACACAAACACAGAGAUACAACAAAAACCAAAAAAUCGUCACAAAACAGUUUCUGCUUGAAUAAUUUCGGAAGGUGCUGAUUGAAUUUGAAUCGGAGAUGGCAUUGUUUCGUAAAUUGUUCUACAGGAAGCCUCCUGAUGGUUUGCUCGAGAUCUGUGAGCGUGUUUAUGUCUUUGAUUACUGCUUUACCACCGAUGCUUGGCAAGAAGAAAAUUAUAAAAGCUAUAUGGGUGGAAUAGUUGGUCAACUUAAAGAACACUUCCCUGAUUCUUCAUUCUUGGUGUUCAAUUUCCGUGAGGGAAAGAGACAAAGCCAGUUUGCUGACAUCCUGUCUGAAUAUGAUAUGACCAUCAUGGAUUACCCUCGGCAAUAUGAAGGUUGCCCAUUGCUCAAAAUGGAGGUGAUCCACCAUUUUCUAAGAUCAGGUGAAAGUUGGCUCUCACUUGGGCAACAGAAUCUGCUUCUAAUGCAUUGUGAGCGGGGUGGCUGGCCAGUUUUGGCUUUUAUGCUGGCAGCACUAUUGAUUUAUAGGAAGCAGUACAGUGUAGAACAGAAGACUCUUGACAUGAUUUACAGACAGGCUCCUAGGGAGCUUUUGCACUUACUGUCACCACUGAAUCCUAUCCCUUCUCAAUUGAGGUAUCUACAAUAUGUUUCAAGGAGGAAUGUGGCUUCAGAAUGGCCUCCAUUGGACAGAUGUCUUACAUUGGAUUGUGUUAUUCUAAGAUUUAUUCCUAAUUUUGAUGGAGAGGGGGGUUGUCGUCCAGUUUUUCGAUUAUAUGGACAUGAUAUUUCAGAGGAAACUACCAAUAUUAUGUGCUCAACUCCUAGGAAAGGCAAAAGUGCCCGGGCUUAUAAGCAGACAGAAUGCGAACUAGUUAAAAUUGACAUCAAUUGCCAUAUCCAAGGUGAUGUUGUGCUUGAGUGUAUCAGUUUGGAUGAUGACAUGGAGCAUGAACAAAUGAUGUUUCGAGCUGUGUUUAACACUGCUUUUAUUAGGUCAAACAUCUUGAUACUUAACCGUGACGAAAUUGAUACUUUGUGGGAUGCUAAGGUUCAAUUUCCAAAGAACUUCAGAGCAGAGAUUCUUUUCUCAGAGGUGGAUGCUACUAAUUCAGUUGCUGCAGUAGAUUUCUCUGGGUUUGAGGAGAAAGAAGGUCUACCAAUGGAAGCAUUUGCUAAAGUUCGUGAGAUCUUUAGCUCUGUUGAUUGGUUAGAUUCCAAGGCAGAUGUUGCACGUAAUGUGCUUCAACAAAUUAGUGCAUCAAAUGUUGUCCAAGAAAACUUUGACACUGAUUUGGUAUAUGGUGUACAACUUAGCCCUCAAAGUCCUCGAAGCCCUUAUAGAUUGGAAACAAGUCCUAAAAAGCAUCAGGAGAGAAAGAAACGCAUGACCUUGAAUAGUGGAAUGGAGAGCUCCAUGUUCUCAACACAAAAGAUUGAGUUUCUACACUCACCAAAAUCCUCUCCACAUGCUCAUGCGAUUGAGGAGGAUAAGCACAAAGACAUUCAAGUUGGCCUUCAACUUGCCAGUCAAUCUGAUCUUACGUGUCAACAACCAUCUCAGUUACCGUUAGAUUCUCACGCUAAAACUACAUCACAUGUUGAUGCCUCAUUUGAAAGAGCUGAUAUCACUCAUAAGAAAAUAUCUAAGGAUGCCUCAAAUCAAACCUUGUCACUUCCAGAUGGAAUUGAACCUGUGAAACCUUCAAGUGUUUUUGUUUCACCGUCAAUACCUCCAUUGCGAACUAUCACGAAUUCCAAUGCCUCAAAAACUCUUCCAACUUCAUCAACACCUCCUCAUCGUAUUUCUGCUUCAAAAUCAAUAGAUCCCUCAUUUACCAAGAGGACUGAAACUUUUUUAAGGGGCAAAGAUCAGUUGUCAUCAAGCACUCCCCAACUUGGUUGUGAUACUCUUGUAACUUCACCACUGCCUCCCACUCCUCCUUUAGGAAUACCAACACCUCCUUCAGUGCCACCUUCGAGAGAUAAGCCCGCCAUUAAAGCGGGAGCCUCAACACCACCACCUCCUCCUCCAACACCACCACCUCCUCCAACUCCACCUUUGAAGGAGAAUGGUGCUAUUAGAGCUGGACCUCCUCCACCCCCACCCCUUCCUCUUCAUUCAAGGCAAGCAACCAAUCUGACUAUUUCAACUCUAAUACCGCCGCAGCCGCCACCACCACCACCACCACCUUCAUCCACUUUUUCAUCCAAUUCUUCUCAUGCUGUUUCUACACCCCCUCCUCCCCUUCCUUUUGGUAAAGGUAUUUUAAAGAUGGGUAGUAAUGAAUCUCCAUCUCCUGCACCACCAACUCCUGCUCCACCAUUCAGUUCUCCUUCCAGCACCAAGGGACGCUUAUCUCGUACUAUAAGUUCAAAGAGCUAUCAAACCAAAAAGCUAAAGCCAUUGCAUUGGUUGAAGUUAACAAGAGCUGUUCAAGGAAGCUUAUGGGCAGAGGCACAAAAAUCUGGUGAAGCCUCCAAGGCUCCAGAGAUUGACAUGUCAGAGCUUGAGAGUCUCUUUUCAGCAUCAACACCAAAUUUAGAUCAUGGGAGGAAGUCAAGUAUGCGUAGCUCACGGGGACCUAAAGUUGAUAAAGUGCAAUUGAUUGAUCAUAGACGAGCAUAUAAUUGUGAAAUCAUGCUUUCAAAGGUGAAAGUGCCACUAAAUGAAUUAAUGAGUUCAGUGCUUGCUCUUGAGGAUUCAACUUUAAGUGCAGAUCAGGUUGAGAACCUCAUAAAGUUUUGUCCAACAAAAGAGGAGAUGGAACUACUGAAGGGCUACACCGGAGAAAAGGAAAAGUUAGGAAAAUGUGAACAGUUUUUCUUAGAGUUAAUGCAAGUACCAAGAGUAGAAUCUAAGCUCAGAGUCUUCUCAUUUAAGAUGCAGUUUCAUUCCCAGGUUUCUGACCUUAGAAAAAUCCUGAAUGUGGUGAAUUCUACUGCAGAAGAGAUCAGGAAUUCGGUGAAAUUGAAAAGAAUCAUGCAGACUAUUCUUUCAUUAGGAAAUGCUUUAAACCAGGGAACUGCUAGGGGCUCCGCUAUUGGAUUUAGGUUGGAUAGUCUUCUCAAACUAACUGAGACACGAGCAAGGAAUAACAAGAUGACUCUCCUGCAUUAUCUUUGUAAGGUGCUUGUUGACAAAUUACCGGAACUUCUAGAUUUUUCAAAAGAUCUUGCCAGUUUGGAACCUGCAUCAAAGGUACAACUUAAAUUUUUGGCAGAGGAAAUGCAAGCUGUAAGCAAAGGAUUAGAAAAGGUUGUACAGGAACUUUCAACCUCUGAAAGUGAUGGUCCUAUAUCAGAGAAUUUUCGUAAGAUUUUAAAGGAGUUCCUUCGUUUUGCUGAGGCUGAAGUGAGGUCUUUGGCUUCUUUGUACUCUGGAGUGGGUAGAAAUGUGGAUGCAUUGAUUCUUUAUUUUGGAGAAGAUCCAGCACGUUGUACCUUUGAACAAGUUGUUUCAACCAUGCUUAAUUUUGUGAGAUUGUUCAACAAAGCCCACGAGGAAAACUGCAAGCAGCUUGAGAUAGAAAUGAAGAGGUCAGCAGAAAAUGAGAAGUCAAAACUAGGCGUUUUACAGGAGUCUGAAAGUUUGUCCCGUGCAACAGUUAAGAGUGGCAGUGUCAAGUAAUUUACCAUUUGAAGAUUGAAUGGACAUUUUUCUCCUCUAGGAAGAAAUGCAGCAUGACACAGGCAUCUGAAUGGGGUUGGUGGGCAGAUAAGGAUCUUGUUGAUGUUGGUAGUUGAACCUGUAUUUGGUUUAUAGAUUAAGCCUGAAAUGUAAAUAUGGAGUUACCUCAUGGUUGCAUUUGGUUCUUCUAAAAGGGAGGCUCUGUGGAAAGCGAUCACGCAGCAAGUGGCUGCAAAGCACUAUUUGGAGGAAGUGGCAAAAGCAAGGAAAACAUGGUUUUUGGGGGUUAGCAUUUCAGGGAUAUCAUUUGAGCUGUUGAACUUUUGAUAAUUUUUCUUUUCUUUCAUCUUGAAAUGCCUUCAAAAAGUUUUUAUUUAUGGUUAUGAUAGGUGAAGGUCAUGCUGCAAUUCUACUUUUCCCCCUCUCUUGGGUGUACUGUGUAGUUUUGCAGAAAUAAAGCCUUAAUCUAAAGUUAUAUUAAAAGUUCCCAAUUUGGUGGUGCAGCCAGCUCCUGAAUUGGUUUCUUUCUGAGUUCCUUGCACUUGGCUUUCACUUCUAAA